rnacentral:rRNA from 1 species
CACGUAGGGCGCAAGCGUUGUCCGGAAUUAUUGGGCGUAAAGAGCUCGUAGAGUUGGUUCGCUGCGUCCGCUGUGAAAACCCAAGGCUUAACCUUGGGCUUGCAGUGGAUACGGGCAGACUAGAGGUAGGGAGGGGAGAAUGGAAUUCCCGGUGUAGCGGUGAAAUGCGCAGAUAUCGGGAGGAACACCGGUGGCGAAGGCGGUUCUCUGGGCCUUACCUGACACUGAGGAGCGAAAGCGUGGGGAGCGAACAGG